rnacentral:misc_RNA from 1 species
GAUGAAGAACGUAGCGAAAUGCGAUAAGUAGUGUGAAUUGCAGAAUUCAGUGAAUCAUCGAAUCUUUGAACGCACAUUGCGCCCCUUGGUAUUCCAUGGGGCAUGCCUGUUCGAGCGUCAUUUGUACCUUCAAGCUCUGCUUGGUGUUGGGUGUUUGUCUCGCCUCCGCGUGUAGACUCGCCUUAAAACAAUUGGCAGCCGGCGUAUUGAUUUCGGAGCGCAGUACAUCUCGCGCUUUGCACUCAUAACGACGACGUCCAAAAGUACAUUUUUACACUCUUGACCUCGGAUCAGGUAGGGAUACCCGCUGAACUUAAGCAUAUCAAUAAGCGGAGA